rnacentral:rRNA from 1 species
UACGUAGGGGGCAAGCGUUGUCCGGAAUCAUUGGGCGUAAAGCGCGCGUAGGUGGCCCCAUAAGUCCGCUGUGAAAGUCAAAGGCUCAACCUUUGAAAGCCGGUGGAUACUGUGGGACUAGAGUACGGAAGAGGCGAGUGGAAUUCCUGGUGUAGCGGUGGAAUGCGCAGAUAUCGGGAGGAACACCAAUAGCGAAGGCAGCUCGCUGGGACGUUACUGACACUGAGGCGCGAAAGCGUGGGGAGCGAACAGG